rnacentral:rRNA from 1 species
CAGGCGGGACUACCCGCU